UGGGGAAUAUUGCGCAAUGGGCGGAAGCCUGACGCAGCGACGCCGCGUGGGGGAUGACGGCCUUCGGGUUGUAAACCCCUUUCAGCAGGGACGAAGCUUACGUGACGGUACCUGCAGAAGAAGCGCCGGCUAACUACGUGCCAGCAGCCGCGGUAAUACGUAGGGCGCAAGCGUUGUCCGGAAUUAUUGGGCGUAAAGAGCUCGUAGGCGGUUUGUCGCGUCUGUCGUGAAAGCCCACGGCUUAACCGUGGGUCUGCGGUGGAUACGGGCAGACUAGAGGCAGGUAGGGGAGAAUGGAAUUCCCGGUGUAGCGGUGAAAUGCGCAGAUAUCGGGAGGAACACCGGUGGCGAAGGCGGUUCUCUGGGCCUGUACUGACGCUGAGGAGCGAAAGCGUGGGGAGCGAACA
rnacentral:rRNA from 1 species